rnacentral:rRNA from 1 species
UAGGGAAUCUUCCACAAUGGACGAAAGUCUGAUGGAGCAACGCCGCGUGAGUGAAGAAGGGUUUCGGCUCGUAAAGCUCUGUUGGUAGUUAAGAAAGAUAGAGGUAGUAACUGGCCUUUAUUUGACGGUAAUUACUUAGAAAGUCACGGCUAACUACGUGCC